CCGAAGGACACGGGGUCCCCUCACGGGCUCUGGUGCGCACCCGGUGGAGCGGCAUUGCUUUUUUCCCCGCUCCCUCACCUGGCCUCAGGUUCGCCAGACGUUUUCAUUUUGUAGCGUCUUUUCGACAGGCAUCCCGGAGAGAAUCUUCAAGAAAAGGAAAGGCAAAGCUAUAGCCUGUGGCAAAGAUAACAGCAUCAAUGUCAUCCUCCCUGGAGCCAUCCUCAAAUAUGGCCGCUGUCUCUGUGAAUUCCUUCACGUUUGAUUUCACCUUCACCAAGCCAGAAAUUAUACAGUUUGGCAGAAAGUCAUUUACCGUUGGAUGCUGACUCAGAACUCUGUGAAUGAUGAUAAAGAAGGAGAGAUCAUGAGAGAGAGAGAUCAUUACCAUAUCCAGAUCAAGUCUGCCUCCUCCAUGAAGAUACCACUGACUGUUCUGGCUGAUAACUUUCUCUCCAUCUUCUGAACUUCUCUAGCACUUGUCACCUGUCCAACUCAUUUAAAAUCAUGGAACAGUAAAGCUGAAAGCAACUGGACAUCAUUUGAUCUGAAAUCUUCUGUCUUUUUUUUGCCUUUGACAUUGUUUGCAGUAUUAGAAAAAUCGUAUCAUUUAUAUUGAUAUUUAAUAUUAUAUAUUCUUAUCUUUUAUCUUUCCAAAUGUGUUUUCUCCAAGGUGGGAGGUAGAGCAUAUACAUCCUUUAGUCCCCAGCCUAUCAUCAGCAUCACUUCCUUUUAUUGAGAAUUGUAACCUGUCAGUCACUGUACUAGGUCCUUUAUCUAUAUUUUUAUUUGAUCAAUACAACAACCUCUUGAAGUAGGUAUUGUUAUGUCCAUUUUAUGGAUGAGAAGCAUGGAGAGGAUGAAUAACUUGCCUGAGAUCGUAUAGCUACUAAAUGAUAGAGCUGAAUUUCCAACCUAAGUCUAACUGACUCUGAAGUCUGUGCUUAAGUAAUGUUUCAUCAUUUAUUUAAGGGAAAAACUGAAGAUUGCAAGUAGCACAACAGGGAACUGGUCUGUCUUUCUGUGUUAUCUGCUGGCUAAAGUCCACGUAGUAAAAGUUUGGUAUUCAACUACCUGGCAAAAGCAUCACUUUCUCUAUAUUAUAAAACUCACUGGAGAUAUUUUCCAGGGUUGUAAGCUAUAUAAGUACAUUGUUUUAUGGUCUCUUGUCUAAGCCCUCAUGUUAAAAGGUGACCUGUCUACAGAGGGAUAAUCAUGUACUUCAUACAUAUAUUCUCACCCGUGGUGACCUUAACUGCUAUCAUAAAUAAGCACUUUUACAUGUCACCGUUGAAAGAGCCUGUGUGUAGUCUUAGAAAUCAAAUGGUUUUGUGUGCAGUGUGUAUAACUUUUUAAAUAUAGGUUAUGAGUAAUGUAAAUGUUCAGAGCUUCAUUUAAAAAGUUCUCUAUGUAUAAAAUAGUGGCAAUAAUACAUAGGUCACAAUGCUUUCUCAGACACAACCACCUUACCUCCACCCGCUCUUCCUGCCUUGUUCUUUGGCAAUUUACAAUUCCUCAGUUCUUGUAAGGCCCAGCUCUUCUAUAACUGACCAUUUAACAAGCCAAUGGUAUUAAAGAAAGCUCAUGCCUUCGGUCCCCACCACACACCUGGUACAUUCUUUUAUCAUAGCACCCACACACAUUUUUACCCUUUAUUGUUUAUAUACCUAUUUCCUAAUAAAUGCUUGUUGAAUUAAUUCAUGGAGUAAUAUAUAAAAUUAGUUUUGUGGUGAUAGAUGGGGAUAGACCUGAGAAGAAGUGUUAUUGAAUGGAGUUUGUGGGUAAAGUUCAUUUCACAAAGUUGUGGCAUUAAACUUCUAUUUGGAGUGGGAUAGGGAGGGUG